rnacentral:snRNA from 1 species
GAUCGGAUUUCCUUACCGGCAAA